rfam:Nadsonia fulvescens var. elongata DSM 6958 unplaced genomic scaffold NADFTscaffold_5, whole genome shotgun sequence.
GCGGAUUUAGCUCAGUUGGGAGAGCGUCAGACUGAAGUUAAAACUCCAGUCUCAGUUAAUCUGAAGGUCCUGUGUUCGAUCCACAGAAUUCGCA